GACGAACGCUGGCGGCGUGCCUAAUACAUGCAAGUGGAACGCAUUUAUAACUACCGUAGCUUGCUACAACUGCUAUAAAUGAGUCGCGAACGGGUGAGUAACGCGUAGGUAACCUACCUUUAAGCGGGGGAUAACUAUUGGAAACGAUAGCUAAUACCGCAUAAAAGGAGCUAACCCAUGUUAGCUUUUUAAAAGGUGCAACAGCAUCACUUAAAGAUGGACCUGCGUUGUAUUAGCUAGUUGGUAAGGUAACGGCUUACCAAGGCUUCGAUACAUAGCCGACCUGAGAGGGUGAUCGGCCACACUGGGACUGAGACACGGCCCAGACUCCUACGGGAGGCAGCAGUAGGGAAUCUUCGGCAAUGGGGGGAACCCUGACCGAGCAACGCCGCGUGAGUGAAGAAGGUUUUCGGAUCGUAAAGCUCUGUUAUAAGCGAAGAACAGGAGUAAGAGUGGAAAGUUUACUCUAUGACGGUAGCUUAUCAGAAAGGGACGGCUAACUACGUGCCAGCAGCCGCGGUAAUACGUAGGUCCCGAGCGUUGUCCGGAUUUAUUGGGCGUAAAGCGAGCGCAGGUGGUUUAAUAAGUCUGAAGUUAAAGGCAGUGGCUCAACCAUUGUACGCUUUGGAAACUGUUAAACUUGAGUGCAGAAGGGGAGAGUGGAAUUCCAUGUGUAGCGGUGAAAUGCGUAGAUAUAUGGAGGAACACCGGUGGCGAAAGCGGCUCUCUGGUCUGUAACUGACACUGAGGCUCGAAAGCGUGGGUAGCGAACAGGAUUAGAUACCCUGGUAGUCCACGCCGUAAACGAUGAGUGCUAGGUGUUGGGUCCUUUCCGGGACUCAGUGCCGCAGCUAACGCAUUAAGCACUCCGCCUGGGGAGUACGACCGCAAGGUUGAAACUCAAAGGAAUUGACGGGGGCCCGCACAAGCGGUGGAGCAUGUGGUUUAAUUCGAAGCAACGCGAAGAACCUUACCAGGUCUUGACAUCCCGGUGCCGGUUCUAGAGAUAGAACUUUUCUUAGGAACACUGGAGACAGGUGGUGCAUGGUUGUCGUCAGCUCGUGUCGUGAGAUGUUGGGUUAAGUCCCGCAACGAGCGCAACCCCUAUUGUUAGUUGCCAUCAUUAAGUUGGGCACUCUAGCGAGACUGCCGGUAAUAAACCGGAGGAAGGUGGGGAUGACGUCAAAUCAUCAUGCCCCUUAUGACCUGGGCUACACACGUGCUACAAUGGUCGGUACAACGAGUUGCGAGCUGGUGACAGUAAGCUAAUCUCUUAAAGCCGAUCUCAGUUCGGAUUGUAGGCUGCAACUCGCCUACAUGAAGUCGGAAUCGCUAGUAAUCGCGGAUCAGCACGCCGCGGUGAAUACGUUCCCGGGCCUUGUACACACCGCCCGUCACACCACGAGAGUUUGUAACACCCGAAGUCGGUGAGGUAACCUUUUAGGAGCCAGCCGCCUAAGGUGGGAUAGAUGAUUGGGGUGAAGUCGUAACAAGGUAGCCGUAUCGGAAGGUGCGGCUGGAUCACCUCCUUUCUAAGGAAAUGGAAGCACGUUUGGUAACUUUAUUUAGUUUUGAGAGGUCUUUGUGGGGCCUUAGCUCAGCUGGGAGAGCGCCUGCUUUGCACGCAGGAGGUCAGCGGUUCGAUCCCGCUAGGCUCCAUUGAAUCGAAAGGUUCAAGCUAGUCCAUUGAAAAUUGAAUAUCUAUAUCAAAAAAUUCCACGAUCAAAUUAAAGAUUGUAGAAUAGUAACAAGAAAUAAACCGAAAACGCUGAAAAUAUUUACUGAGAAAACGGUCGUAAGACCUAAAAUAAGGUUAAGUUAAUAAGGGCGCACGGUGGAUGCCUUGGCACUAGAAGCCGAAGAAGGACGUGACUAACGACGAAAUGCUUUGGGGAGCUGUAAGUAAGCGCCGAUCCAGAGAUGUCCGAAUGGGGGAACCCACUAGCUAAUGGCUAGUAUCCGUAACUGUUAAGGUUAUGAGAAGGAAGACGCAGUGAACUGAAACAUCUAAGUAGCUGCAGGAAGAGAAAGCAAACGCGAUUGCCUUAGUAGCGGCGAGCGAAACGGCAGUAGGGCAAACCGAGGAGUUUACUCCUCGGGGUUGUAGGACUGCGCUAUAGGACUAAGCGACAUAAAAGAAUGACUUGGGAAGGUCAGCCAGAGAGAGUAACAGCCUCGUAUUUGAAAUGACAAUUAGCCUUAGCAGUAUCCUGAGUACGGCGAGACACGCGAAAUCUCGUCGGAAGCAGGGAGGACCAUCUCCCAACCCUAAAUACUCUCUAGUGACCGAUAGUGAACC
rnacentral:rRNA from 1 species